CAAAAGCGCCCUUGGCUUCUGCCAGACUCUCGUCCAAAGGCAAAACUGACCGCCAUCACUGAGGCAAAGUAUUUGCUAAAAGACAUCCAGCACCUUUCGCCUGAUGUACAAACAUCCGGUUUAGAAGCCUUUCAUAGCCUUCUGAUUCGUUUUGCUCCCAAGUCUGUGGGCUAUAGUGCACGAACAAUGCGGAACAGAGUCUACUUGGCCAUUCUCCAC